UUCUUGUAGCAAUAACUGAAAGAAACGGUUUGUUUUUGAUUUCCGUUUUCUUCCUUGAGAUUGAUUGCCAAACCAAGAUAAUUUUUAAUAUUUUAGUAGAUUCUUCCCUGGACUUUUGGUUUUUAAGAUAUUCCUAAAUUCAUUGGAGAGAAAAAGCAGCAUAUGGUCUGGGGGUGCAAAUGAAGAUGCUCAGUCGUUUAUUUAAAAAAAAACGGCGGUGAUACUGUACGAAAUGACCAACGUUAGGUAGACUUGUUUGUCCAACUAAUGUUUCUGAUGAGCUAGAAGCGCUAAAACGGUGGUGCACUGAGUGGUUCCCGGAGGCAAAACAAAGUAUUUUAUCAAAUAGAAGUGAUAGGUAUAAGGGUAUAAAGGAUGGCUGCUACUGGACGGACAGCACCACAUUCCCGCCAGAUUUCACCACAAGCAACCAGCGCCACAUCUCAGUAUUUCUAAAUUUGGAAGAGCGAGAAAACUUCAGGAUCAUGGCCUCCUCCGUGCCUCUCUUGGCAUCCUACCUACUUAUAGCCUGCAUUGUGGGAGCGGGCUUUGCUUCAACCCACGUGGAGGGGAUAACGACAUCCCAAGGUGCAGCUAGAGGGCGUCCUCGUGGUGACAUGGUGCACCUCCUGCGGAUGUCUCUCCGCGAUAUAUACGUCCACAGUGCUCAGCUGCUUAAGCAGGAACUAGACAACAGUCUGGCCGUGGUAGACGGCGCGGUCAGCGGCGA